rnacentral:RNase_P_RNA from 2 species
CCAGACGGCCGGAUGACCGCUUUUCGCAGGGUGACCUGUGGGGAGAGGAAAGUCCGGGCUCCACGGAAAUACGGUGCCGGGUAACGCCCGGCGGGGGCGACCCCAGGGAAAGUGCCACAGAAAGCAAACCGCCUGUCCGGCCUUACGGCCCAGCGGGUAAGGGUGAAAGGGUGCGGUAAGAGCGCACCGCGCUCCCGGCAACGGGGGCGGCACGGUAAACCCCACCAGGAGCAAGACCGAAUAGGGAAGACAUGGGCCUUUACGGGUCCAGGCGCGUUUCCGCGCUGUCGUCCGGGUUGGUCGCGUGAGGCAUCCGGCAACGGAUGUCCCAGAUGAAUGGUCAUCACCCGCCUCAUCCGUUCGGAAGAGGGAUGAAAAGCGGGUACAGAACCCGGCUUACAGGCCGUCUGGCACC